AACGAAGGGGGCUAGCGUUGUUCGGAAUUACUGGGCGUAAAGCGCACGUAGGCGGAUAUUUAAGUCAGGGGUGAAAUCCCAGAGCUCAACUCUGGAACUGCCUUUGAUACUAGGUACCUUGAGUAUGGAAGAGGUAAGUGGAAUUCCGAGUGUAGAGGUGAAAUUCGUAGAUAUUCGGAGGAACACCAGUGGCGAAGGCGGCUUACUGGUCUGGUAUUGACGCUGAGGUGCGAAAGCGUGGGGAGCAAACAGG
rnacentral:rRNA from 1 species